CUCCGGUAGAUCCCGCCGGACCUGACUGCUAUCGGAUUGGUACUAAGCCAUGCGAGUCGUUGUAGCAAUACAAGGCGGACGGCUCAGUAACACGUAGUCAACCUAACCUAUGGACGUGGAUAACCUCGGGAAACUGAGAAUAAACCGCGAUAGAUCAUUAUGCCUGGAAUGGCUUAUGGUUCAAACAAUUUAUUGCCGUAGGAUGGGACUGCGGCCUAUCAGCUUGUUGGUGAGGUAAUGGCCCACCAAGGCUAUAACAGGUACGGGCUCUGAGAGGAGAAGCCCGGAGAUGGGUACUGGGACACGGACCCAGGCCCUAUGGGGCGCAGCAGGCGAGAAACCUUAGCAAUGUGCGAAAGCACGACUAGGUUAAUCCGAGUGAUUUCUGUUGAAGAAAUCUUUUGUCAGUCGUAAAACCACAGACGAAUAAGGGGUGGGCAAGUCUGGUGUCAGCCGCCGCGGUAAUACCAGCACCUCGAGUGGUCAGGAGGUUUAUUGGGCCUAAAGCAUCCGUAGCCGGCUACGCAAGUCUCCGGUUAAAUCCAGCUGCUCAACAGAUGGGCUGCCGGAGAUACUACAUAGCUAGGGAGCGGGAGAGGUAGACGGUAUUCUGUGGGUAGGGGUAAAAUCCACUGAUCCAUAGAGGACCACCAGUGGCGAAGGCGGUCUACCAGAACGCGUUCGACGGUGAGGGAUGAAAGCUGGGGGAGCAAACCGGAUUAGAUACCCGGGUAGUCCCAGCUGUAAACGAUGCAAACUCGGUGAUGCAUUGGCUUAUGGCCAAUGCAGUGCCGCAGGGAAGCCGUUAAGUUUGCCGCCUGGGAAGUACGGACGCAAGUCUGAAACUUAAAGGAAUUGGCGGGGGAGCA
rnacentral:rRNA from 1 species